rnacentral:lncRNA from 1 species
GCAGCUUCAUCCUCUUCUGCUUAAUUUUUCUUAAAAUUAAGACAACCUCAUGCACAGUCAGAGGCUUGUAGGAAAAUGGAAGGGACAGUACAGAGAUCCCUUCUUCCCCUCCUUCCCCUGUCUGGUCGCCCCGGUCACCACGUCUUGCGUGAGUGUGGUGCCUGUGCUGAUCCACAGGGCCAUGUCGUCAUGCACUGGAGCCCCGAGUUCACAUUCGGGUUCACUCUUUACAUGGUACAGUUUAUGGAUCUUGUCAAAUAUGGUGACAUGUUCCUACAGCAGUACACAGAGGAGUCUCCCAGUCCCUAGGUCCCCGGUGUCUAACUAUUCUCCCUCCCUUCGUCUGUCUGUCCAUCCCUCCAUCUGUCCAUCCCUCCCUCUGUCCAUCCAUACCUCCCUUCAACUGUCCAUCCAUCCCUCCCUCCAUCUGUCCAUCCCUCCAUCUGUCCAUCUGUCCAUCUGCUCAUGCCUCUAUCCAACCAGCCCUUCUUCCUCUCUCCCUUCUUCCAUCCUUCCCUUCUUCCCUCCCUCCAUCUGUCCAUCCCUCCCUCUGUCUGUCCAUACCUCCUUCCCUCUUUCCAUCCCUCCUUCCUUCUGUCCAUCCCUCCCCCCAUCUGUCCAUCCCUCCCUCUGUCUGUCCAUCCCUCCCUUCAUCUGUCCAUUCCUGCCUGUCUGUCCCUCCCUCCAUCUGUCCACCCAUCUCUCUUCCCUGUGUCCAUCCAUCCCUCCCUCCCUCCAUCUGUCUGUCCACCAACCCUGGGCCAGCACUGAUCUUUCCUCUGUCCCUAGUCCUUCCUUUCUCAGAGUGUCACAUAGUCUGAAUCACACACCACACAGCUUUUCCAGGGUCACAUCAUUCACUUGGAAGAGUGUGUGUCAGGG